UACGUAGGGGGCUAGCGUUGUCCGGAAUCAUUGGGCGUAAAGAGCGUGUAGGCGGCCCGGUAAGUCCGCUGUAAAAGUCAAAGGCUCAACCUUUGAAUGUCAGUGGAUACUGCCGGGCUAGAGUCCGGAAGAGGCGAGUGGAACUCCUGGUGUAGCGGUGGAAUGCGCAGAUAUCAGGAAGAACACCAACGGCGAAGGCAGCUCGCUGGGACGGUACUGACGCUGAGGCGCGAAAGCCAGGGGAGCAAACGGG
rnacentral:rRNA from 1 species